rnacentral:rRNA from 1 species
AGCUCCAAUAGCGUAUAUUAACGUUGUUGCAGUUAAAAGCUCGUAGUUGGAUUUCGAGGCCUGGGUGGCUGUCACCCUAUGGGUAGGCGGGCCGCCUGGGUCUCUUAUUUCCGGGGACGGCGUCACUUUUAAUUAAGGGGCGUUCGGACGCGGAUCGUUUACUUUGAAAAAUUAGAGUGUUCAAAGCAGGCCUUCGCUUGAAUACAUUAGCAUGGAAUAAUGGAAUAGGACUCUGGGCCUAUUUUGUUGGUUUCUGGGACUAGAGUAAUGAUUAAUAGGGACAGUUGGGGGCGUUCAUAUUCCGAUGUCAGAGGUGAAAUUCUUGGAUUUUCGGAAGAUGAACUUCUGCGAAAGCAUUCGCCAAGGAUGUUUUCA